rnacentral:lncRNA from 1 species
CGCACCUUAACGGCAUCGCAGCCACAUUCCAGGGGCCGGGGGCGGCCUCGUGCAACACGCGGGCGUGCAAGGGGCGGCCUCGUGCAACGCACACCCGCAUCCUCGUGCGACGUGUGCAAGGGGCGGCCUCGUGCAGCGCCCUCGUGCAAGGCACGGCCGGGUGCUGUGUCCUCGUGCAAGGCCCGGCGUGGCCUCGUGCAACGCGUGGCCGUGCAAAGUGCUUCCUCGUGCAAGGCACGGCCGUGCCCCCACCCCUCCUGCCCCCCCCGUGCGAGGCGUCCUCGUGCAAGGCCCGUGCAAGCACCGCCCUCCUGCCACGCCACACCCCGCGCCCGGCCCCACUUUAUGCAAUGCGCCCUCGUGCAAGGCCCCGCUCGUGCAGCGCACGCCCACGCCCGGCUCCUCUCACGCCACCCCUGGCCUCACACAAGGGGUGGCCGUGCACGAGGGUGGCACUUGUGCAAGGCACCGUGGGCAGAGGUGGGCCUUGUGCAAGGUGUGUCCUCGUGCAAGGUCGCUCUUGUGCAAGGUGCAUCCUUGUGCAUGGUGCACUCGUGUGCAAGGUCCGUCCUUGUGCAAGGUGAACCCUCGUGCAAGGUGAACCCUCGUGCAAGGUGAACCCUUGUGCAAGACUCAUCCUCGUGCAAGGCACCUCCUCGUGCAAGGAGCAUCCUCACCCGAGGUGCAUCCUCGUGCAAGGCACCACCUCCUCGUGCACAGCCCACCCUCGUGCAAGGCGCCUCCUCGUGCGAGCCCCCCCCCCCCCCCCCCCCCCCCCCCCCCCCCCCCCCCCCCCCCCCCCCCCCCCCCCCCCCCCCCCCCCCCCCCCCCCCCC